GAAGAAGAACCUAUUGAUAUAUAUUGUUGUUAGAUGGAAAGAGAAUAUUGUCAAAUAUUCUUUUGUGUUUUCUAUAAACACUUUUGAACAAAAAAGAAAAACAAACAAAAACAAAAACAAAACAGAUCUUCCACUCACAUAUAUCAUUUUAUGUUUUUUCUUUUUUUGUUAAAUCCUUAUUUCUCUUUUAUUAUAUUUAUAUAAAAAAAACAAAAAAGGUUCACAUUUGUAUUUGUUUGGGUCCCUACAGUAUUAAAGUUUGCGCCA
rnacentral:ribozyme from 1 species